rnacentral:lncRNA from 1 species
CAAAACAAAUGUUUUAGAAUUAAAAUCUGAUGAGAAUAAAACAAUUUUUAUUUUUUCCUAAAAUAAAAACUAAUUGGAAUUCCUUUUUGGUGUUUAGACAAAUAUACCUUCAAUGUUAAUGGUUCCUAACGGUAGAUCUAACGGUAGUGAGUUAAGUGAGAGACGGAAUGAAAAGUGAGUGAGUUAAGUAAUAUUUUUAAAAUAUGAGUGAGUAAAGUGAUUAAUGAGUCAAAAGUCAAUGACCAUUUGUGAUAUUUUACCUAUCUAUUUUGUGCUAUGUAUUAAGUUGAUCCUUGCAGCAUGAUGUUGUACUAGUUGUUAUGUUUAGGACUAAUAUAUGUUUCUCUCCUAGGUUUCAUUCGCCUAGUGUAGUACUUAUCCCAGAAUCACUUGGAAAAGAGAACGUCUUGAAGCUUGGGGUAUGUAUUACUUGACUAGGACAGCAAUUGUUGGUUUAGCUCUUGGAGCAUAUGUUUGGGGUAUGUAUUACUUGACUACUUUGAAAUAGUUAUUUGAAUUACUUCUUCUAAGACUCUGCUAGCUCGAAGCAUACAUGUCCCAUUAAUUUACCCUAUGUUUUUCUAAUUCUAAUAUUUACAUUAUCAUCGGGGCAUCACAAAAUUACUGGCGAGCAACUUAACUAUCAAGAAAGCCACAAUUGAUGAUUUCUAUCAAAGUAGUAUGAUUUACUUGAAUUGUGAAGGAAAUUGUACUGCAUUUUCUAUGAGAUACUAAAGCUGGAAAUUGUACUGCAUUGUAUAAAUCACGUUCAUUGUAAAAUGACGAGAAAAAAAAAUUGAAAUUCCUCAACAACGGAAAGACAAUCACAUUAACAUUAUGAAUAAAAGUCGCAAGUUUUUUUUAACAUGGACAUCUGCUUGUAAUUGGUUCACAUUUCUCAAUGAAUGUGCAUGAGAUAAAAGCUUAGAUAAUAGACAAGACUUGUAAUAAACUAAGUGCACGUUUGGUACAUAGGACUAUUCUGAGACACUAUUAUUAAUACUUAGCCUACUCUCACUUGAGUAGGCUUACUUAGUACCAAUUUGAACCAUGUUUGGUGAGGCAGUACAACUUAAGGUUGGACAGUGUAGAGAACAAUAACCAAAUCUGCAUCCAUAUCAAAACUGCAUCUGGACCAAAACCUCUUUUAUUCUUUGCAAUACUGAGAAUCUAUAUGGACCAAAUUUAGUAGAUCUUCAUCAAUCAAAUUCAAACAAACCCACCAAAAACUUAAACAAGUAAAUGGAAUUUCGUAGAAAGAAAAAAAAAAUCUAACCAAUAGUUUUGAAAAGAACCCCCUCCAGGAACUCUGCAUUUUUCUUUAAAAUUUAGAAAGGGGAAAACCCAGUAAGCCAGAGAUGGUGCUCGGGAUGUGUUGUUGAGGAUUCUGAGGAAGUUCAAUAUGAGGAUUUGCCAACACCCAUACUCAAGAAUCAAGAUUGAUCUCAAGUCUUAACUCUUCUCUCUCAAAAACCCCAAAACCCGAACCCACCAAAGCUCCUCUUCCUCAAUGGCUGGUGGUCGCUUCUGCGAGCUCGUGAAGAAGGCAAGGUGGCGCUAGGAGUCCACUGCUCCAUCUCGGUCGCCUCCAUUGAACGACGGAGCUGGCGGCCACCAACGGCGACGCUUUGGCCAGAAGGAGGCUUAUCGAGACUUCUACUUAGUUUUUCUUGGGUUUUUUAUAUGAUUAUGAAAUAUUGGUUCUUGAGAUAGGAAGAUUAGAAGAGUUGAGAUCAAUCUUUCUCUUGAGAGAGAAAGGGAUAGACGUAGGGAAGAAAGGAGGAGAGAGAUGGUCUUAUUAUGGGGUCUCAAAACCGAGUACCCACGUUAAGACCAGUUAAGGAGGUUAAAUGGAAAAACAGGUCCAACCUAAGCCUAUUUAUUUUAGUACUCACUUACACCAAACAUGGGAUUAGCCAAUUAAGACUCCUUAUUUAACACUGCACUAGGUAGUACUGAGAAACAAACAUGCACCAAGACUCUUUACUCAAAGAAGAGCAACAACAAUAUUGAUAGCAGAUUUGCUUGAGCAAUAUACUCUGCUUUUGUAAUGAAAUAAAUUACUCAGAGCGUCAGUCGGGCAAGUCAACUAGGUAUCUUAUCUUGAUCAUCA